CGCCUCUGACAUCACUGGUGCUUUUGUGAUGCAAACCUCCACGUUGUCUAAGCACAGGAGGGGCCCCUGGAUCUGUGUGUCCCUGUUACUGUGCACACCCACGAAAUGGGACACGCAGAUGCGCCCACGCAGGACUAAAUGAAUAACUGGCUAAAACGCCUUCCAUUCCUACGCGUCACCUUCGUCUCGACCCAGGCCCUCCUCCAGGCUGUCCCCAGCUCCUUGCACAGCUGCCCCUUCUCACCUUCCAGGACUCUGUCAGGUGUCACGUCCACAGGGGCCCCCGACUCCCCUGUCCACGGUCACCCCCUCCACCCAGGCCCCUCCCAGCAGGCCUCUGUUUACCCUUCUGGAUACCACUCACCACCAUCGGAAGUGACCCCGAGGGCAUGUUUCCUUGGCGUCAUCUCCCUCGCCCCCUCUUGA
rnacentral:lncRNA from 1 species